rnacentral:rRNA from 1 species
UACGUAGGGUGCGAGCGUUAAUCGGAAUUACUGGGCGUAAAGCGUGCGCAGGCGGUGAUGUAAGACAGGUGUGAAAUCCCCGGGCUUAACCUGGGAACUGCAUUUGUGACUGCAUCGCUGGAGUGCGGCAGAGGGGGAUGGAAUUCCGCGUGUAGCAGUGAAAUGCGUAGAUAUGCGGAGGAACAGCGAUGGCGAAGGCAAUCCCCUGGGCCUGCACUGACGCUCAUGCACGAAAGCGUGGGGAGCAAACAGG